rnacentral:rRNA from 1 species
AAGGUUUCCGUAGGUGAACCUGCGGAAGGAUCAUUAUUGAAUACACACAGGAUUGUUGCUGGCUAGAUUCAUUUCUAGCAUCGUGCACAUCUAUCUUCCACACACACACUUGUGAACUUAUUGUAGAUCGCAAGAUCUAUGUCUUUAAUUCAUCACAUAUCCAUCGUAUGUCUACAGAAUGUUACAAAUAUAAUACAACUUUCAGCAAUGGAUCUCUUGGUUCUCGCAUCGAUGAAGAACGCAGCGAAUUGCGAUACGUAAUGUGAAUUGCAGAUUUUCAGUGAAUCAUCGAAUCUUUGAACGCACCUUGCGCCCCUUGGUAUUCCGAGGGGCAUGCCUGUUUGAGUGUCAUUUAAUUAUCAACCAAUUUAGUCUUUGAUUAGACUUUUUUGGAUUGGAGUUGGGAAUUGCUGGUCUUAACAAAGGAUCAGCUGUCCUUAAAUGCAGUAGCAAGUGAAAGUGAUUUUACGUGGCACGGCCUUUGACGUGAUAAUGAUCGUUGUGGGCUGGAAGCGUUUAAUUAAGCUAGUAGUUUGCUUUAAUUAUAUAACGAGUGAAUUUCUAUGUGCAUACGGCUGGAAAGCAUUAGUAAUGGAAGCUUGAGCGGAAAGUAAGCUAUGUUGUAAAAGGCAUAGUAAAUGUGGAAGCUUGAGUGAAAGUGAGAAUGUGUAGUAGGCUGGAAGGCAUAGCAUUGAAGCUAGUUAAACAAGGAAUUGAAAAAUAACCUGUGGAAUAUUUCUAUGUGCAUAGCAUAGUUAUUGAGAAACUAGUGAAAAAGUAAAUUCCGACCGAAAGUGACCUCAAAUCAGGAGACACAU